CAGCCUUGGCCAGACUCAGACUGAAAGAACUCUUGAAACAGUCUCAGCCGGAUGGGCUCAGCAGCCAAAAAGAAGUAGACUCAUUGAGGGAAAGCCUGCUCCUGGAAAUUCACAGAACUUUUUUCUUCUUGAAGUGACCAGUCUCUUUGGUCCCAUUCACCCACCUACCCCUCAGCAAGGAAAAAACCCCGGCUUCAUCCCACUGAGCUAUGCCCUUUGUGUCCAUUUUAGCUCUUGCGACACUACUCAUAGCUGGAACAACAGAAGCACAGUCAGUGACUCAGCCUGAAAACCAGGUCUCUGUCUCUGAAGGGUCUCCAGUAGAACUGAAAUGCACUUAUUCCUCUUCUGGGAGCGUUUUUCUAUUCUGGUAUGUCAAGUAUCCCAACCAGGAGCUUCAAAUCCUUCUGAGACACAUUUCAGGGGAAAGCAACAAAGGUUUUCAGGCCAAACUCAACAAGGAGGAAACUUCCUAUCAUCUGAAGAAGCUCCAUGUACAAGAGGAAGAUUCAGCUGUGUAUUUCUGUGCUCUGAGUGACACAAUGAGAAGACUCACAAAGGGAGCUGAACACAAACCUGCAGAAAUGUUUUCUUUGAAAUGUUCCUCUAAGGGUUUUGUUCUUUCUUUUUCAGAGUCCCCUAAAUGGGGCAGUGUUAUUCCUAAAGAGGAAUAAAGAUUUAUAGUAUCUUAAGAUUUAGAACUAAAAGGGACUUUAGAGAUUAUAUAGGCCAUUAGGUCAGUGGGGUUUUUUUCUCUCUGUAAAUGGUCAGAUAGUAAAUAUUUUAUGC